AUUGAACGCUAGCGGGAUGCCUUACACAUGCAAGUCGAACGGAGUGGCGAACGGGUGAGUAAUGUAUCGGAACGUGCCCAGUAGCGGGGGAUAACUACGCGAAAGCGUAGCUAAUACCGCAUACCAUUGGAGCGGCCGAUAUAGGAUUAGCUGGUUGGUGGGGUAACGGCUCACCCAGGCGACGAGCCGUAGCUGGUUUGAGAGGACGACCAGCCACACUGGGACUGUGGCACGGACCAGUCUCCUACGAGAGGCAGCAGUGGGGAAUUUUGGACAAUGGGGGAAACCCUGAUCCAGCCAUCCCUCGUGAGCGAUGAAGGCCGUCGGGUUGUAAAGCACUGUUGGCAGGAAAGCGGGACCUGCAGAAUAAGCACCGGCUAGCUACGUGCCAGCCGCCGCGGUAAUUC
rnacentral:rRNA from 1 species